CCUGCGUCCGCUCAGAGGGUGGGAGACGGCCCGUAGAAGGGCGCGGAGUCAGCGGAGGAGCGACGGCCAGGCGGGGAGUGAGGAAACUCCUGCCCCAGCACCCACGGAGCCCACUCCGGUGGUGCCCGCCCCUUGUCGGCCAGAGGGGGCGGGGCCGCGGGCGAUGGGGCGGAGCGGGCUGUGUUCUGGUCCGCUCCCGUGACGCGCUGCCCGCCAGGCUGCGGGGGUCGCGGGGCGUCCGCGUGGGCCAGCGGAGGCCCACAGCUGCGGAGGGAAACCACUGGGAGGGGAGAAGGAGCUCUAGGGAGAGCGAGGCUGCAACGAGGGGAGAGCCGGGCGACGGGCAGGGGCCCAGGCGCGCUCCCCGACUUCCCACAGGCGCGCGCAUGCCUGCGUGUCAGGGCGCGCGCUCCCCCUCUCGGACCGAGGCGACCCCAGUCCGUGAGCGGCUUGGAUCCUCGCCCGUUCCCUCCUGGUCGUUUCCGCAGUAACCUCUUAUCAGAGCGGGCAGCUGUGAGUGGCGCUCACAUCCGCCGCUGCCCUGUCGAAUGGGGGAAAGAGUUCUUGUGUUCUGAGGAGGGUUUGGCUAUGGUCCUUGACCCUAUUCUUGUCUCAGACUUGCCUCCCAGGAAUAUAGGAGGAUUGUAUGCCCUGGCCUCCCUGUGAUGGGGUUGAACUACAUGACAUGUUCUCCGAAUUAAGUGUGAGCAUAGCAUUUAAUUGUUGAUGCAAGACCUUCCAGAACUCUUUUUCUCUUUGCCAUGGCAAUCAUCAGUGUUCCAGAGAGCAUAUGCACGAUCAGCCUUGGUAUUGGAGGGAAGAUGAUGCGGAACAGAGUCCCAGUCACAUCAUGAAGGACAUGUAAAGUGAGAAGUAAACCUUGGUUGUUUUAAGCCAUUGAGAUUUGAGUUUUGUUACCAGAGCAGAUCUUUGUCAUCCUGGAUAAUGUGCCUGAGAAGAAGAGGUUUAAGGAAGAAAACUUGUGAACACCAAUGUGCUUGUUAGACUCCUUUGCUUGUAAGAAAGAGAAACUCAAGAGACUAAUGAAAAGAAGGAACAAGUGUUUAUAUGGGUAUAUGAGUAGCUAUUAGGAGCCCAGGCAUAAGCUACUCUCUUAUUUCUUUCUCAUUGUGUCUCUGCUCUUCUCUACCUCUUUAAUCUAUUCUCACACUACCAACUGGCUAAUUAAUCCACUUCUUAUCCUUUAGUCUGCAUUUCAGAAGAAUAUAAGCCAGUUCCAGAGCUCUUAGCUCUAAGUAGCUUCAUGGGCUGCCAGCCAACCUGGAAAUGAGCUACUCUUGGGUCAGGUGCCCAUCCUGCUCUAAACAGUGUCACUCCUACCUGAAACAUCAUUUAGCUUUCCUGGGCAUGGGACCUCUGGUACAGCAAUGCAAGCAGUAGUGGGAUAUUUCUAUUCUCGUCCCACUACAAUUUAUUUUUCACAGAAUUGUGAAAAUUAUGUUUUACAAUUGGACAUCAGAUGUGUCUUAAUCCAUAUCUACCAGCCCACUACAACCAGCCUAAAACUCUUAUAUUGCGUUAGGGAAAGACCCAACUCUCUGCCUGGCCUACAAAGCCCUUUAUGAUCUAGCCUCUGCCUGACAUUCCUACCUCACCUCCUGCCACCCUCCCUCUCACACGUUCCAGCCACCCAGGCCUCCUGUGUCUCCCUUGGAUGAGUCAAGCUGGUUUCCUCCUCAGGACAUUUGCAUUCUGCCCUUGCCAAUCUUUCUUGUUUGAACACUCUGCCCUUGGCUCUGAGAAAGCCUGGUUUCUUCAUUCUUAUUCGUUUUAAGCUCUCCUGUCAUCUCCUCAGAGAUGACUUCCCUGAUUACCCUCAUCUAAAGGACUGCCCUCUCUACAUCGGGUUACUGGUACCCCUUAUUUUCUUCAUAGCACUUAUCAUCACCUGAAAUUGCCUUGUUUAUUCCUUUACUUUCUGUCUUCCAUAAGCAGAAUGAAAUACCAUGAGAGUGAGUAUCUUUCCUGUCUUGUGAACCCCUGUACUCUGAUUCCCUAGAAUAGUCCCUGUCACACUAAAUAUUUUUUAAGUGAAGGAAAGGGAUGGUGGGCAGUGUGCUCAUGUGCUGGUUGUUCUCUGGUGUCGUCUAUCCAGGUUCAGUGUCUACCCUUCGCUGGCUUGCUGUGUGUCUCAGGAGGUUGACCUCUAGAGACGGUGUCACUCAGCCUCCACUGGGCUCUGGAUUUCCAGUUAGGCUUGACCAGUGAGAGGCACCAGCAGAAUAUUGGAGGGUAGUACAGGUGAGAAGUGGUCAGGGUAUUUAUCUCUUCCCGGUUGAGUUUCACUAUGGUUUUGGCAGUGGUUGAAUUUUGUGAACAAAGUUCUUAUUUACCAAGUUUCCAACUCUUUCCCAGCUCUAGUAAUGAUUUUCUGAUGCUUUGUCAUCCUUUUUAAUACUUCCUUGAUUAGACGCUAUUUACAGUUGCUUUUGUUGCCUGCAGGAACUCUCACUGACACAGCAGGGGCAGGUCAGAGGCUGACAAGCUCAGUACAGCUAACACUUGAGUUCAUAUAACUCACCCAUAGCCACACAGAGAAAGUGGUGGAAGCAGAUUUCAAAUUUAAACUCAGGGAGUGUGAGGAGAUCUGCAGAAACUGUUAUAUUAGAAGUCCAAGGAAGAGAGAAUGUUAAGAUGUUAAGAUGGAAAGAUGGAAUGUUAAGGUGGUUUGUCAAGUGCAGUUGGAGUCCCUUUUUCUUCUGGGUUUGGUGGCCUGCUGCACCUUUGCCUUUCUCUGACUCUCAUUAAAAUUGUUAAUUAAGGGAGAUUUUAGAGUCCUAGGCUCAAAAUUAAAAUUUGGUUUAUUUUGUAAUACGGCUCCAGAAGCCUUUAAUUCUCUAUUUAAUUUUAUUUCUAAAAGAAAAAGAUUGGGCACUACUGACCUAGAUAAAGACCCAAGAUGAGAGAAGGACCAAUGAGUGUCCCUUAGAUAUUUCUUUUAAAGGUAGCCACUAGGGCCUUAGGGAAAGUACUUUCAGGAACAGACAAAUUGCACCAGUUUGAGAGUGAAUGAAAGGUAACUAUGAAAGAGUGAGUUUAGAUAGCACUUUUAAUAAUUUUGGAUGGAAAGGAAGAAAAAGGUGAUAGCUAGAAGGUAAUACAGGGUGAGGAAGAUGGGGACAUUCUAACUGAAGGAUUCCAGUGUGUUUAUAGAUUGAGGUAAAGAAGGCUGGAGAGAAGAGGGCAUUAAGGCACAGAAGAGAGGAAAUAUAAUGAAGCCAGGUUGUAAAGGAGAUGAAAGAGAAUGUGGUUAAGAUAUUAGGGGAAGGAUUAGAUGCAGGGGAGACAGUGCUUCCUUUGAGAUUCAAAGGAAAGAUGUAGAGAUGAAUGCAAAUUUGCCACUGCCUAUUUCUAAUCGUAAUAGAUUCUGUCAUUUCAGGAUUUAUUUUAAUGUAGUUGGGGACUGGCAGGUAGUUUUUCUCUCCCCUUUGAUAGCCUGGGGCUUCAUUUCUGACUUUUCCUGAUCAAAAAUAAGAACUGAUCUAUCUUCUCAGCUCUUCAGGUGUCAAUUAUACAAUAAGCAAAUUUUUCCAGGCUCCCUGUUAUACACUUGCCACUACACUUCUGACUUAGAUGUGGUACUUUGUUAGUAUCUGUGAGGACUGAAAAUGAGAUCGAAGAGAAAAAUCCAAUCAAGCAUUAAGUAAUCAUAUUUAAAUGGAAAAUGGGAAGAUACUAUUAACGAAUUCAAUGGUACAUCACUCUCUAAACUCUAAAUUUGCUAUUUUAUAAUUAUGAAUUUCUGUGUACUGUACAAUAUUAGCUUCAGUUAAUUUUAAGUGCACCCAUAACAUUAAAUGUGUUUUGAUAUGUGGUUGUUGAAGCUACCUGUUAAAAUUAGUUUGCUGUGAUUUAUUGUUAUUCAUACAAAUGGUUUAUCAAAUGCAAUUGGAGUCCCCUUUUCUUCUGGGUUCGGUGGCCUGCUGUGUUUUUGCCUUUCUCUGACUCCCAUUAAAAUCUUUAAUUAAGGGAGAUUUUAGAGUUCUGGGCUCAAAAUUAGAAUUUGGUUUAUUUUAUAACAGGGCUCCAGAAGGCUUGAAUUAUUUAUUUUAUUUUAUUUUUUAUUUUUGAGACAGGGUCUUGCUCUGUCACCCUGGCUGGAAUGCAGUGGAGUGUGCAUGGCUCACUGCAGCCUCCACCUCCUGGCUUAAGUUAUCCUCCCACCUCAGCCUCCUGAGUGGCUGGGACUACAGGCAUAUGCCACCCCACCUGGCUAAUUUUUGUAUUUUUUAUACAGAUGGUGUUUUGCCAUGUUGCCCAGGCUUCUUUAGAACUCCUGGGCUCAAGUGAUACACCUGCCUUGACCUCCCAAAGUGCUGAGUUUACAGGUGUGAGCCACUGUGGCUAACCAGAAGCUUUGAAUUCUUCAUGAAAUUCUGAACCACAUAAACACAUAAGCCAGGCAUCCCUCAGUGAAUAACUCCUGCAGCAAAAGGAAAUGAAAUUAUAAGUGCAUUGCAUCAAAUGGUGGCCUCAGGAGAACAAGGCUGUUCUUCAAUAGGCUCUUCAGCUAGCAAGGCAAAUAGUUUGUAGAUCCUUUUUGGUGCAUUUUACAGAAGACAAGUGCCUUUUUUUCAGACUUGCUUAAGAUCUGUAAUUUAAAUAAGUACAUUUGGACCCUGUAUGAAAUUGCUCUUUACUGUUAACAACUAAUUCUUCCUGAAUGAGGAGUAUUCAGCUUAUUUGUUCAGGAAGAGUAUAUUGAGGGUAUAUACUUUGCUAGACUCUUCUGAGAAUAUAAAGAUGAAUUAAAGGCAUUUCCUACCUUCAGGGAGUACAAUCCAAUUGUGAAGAAAAGAACAAUAACUCCAUUACAAAGCCUGUGUGGUGCGUGCAUCAGAGUGGUGUUGAAAGGUUUAGGAUGGCAAGGGAAAGCACAAUGACUCCAGAUGGGGUGGCCGUUUCCAAAUAGUGCUCCUAGUUCUGUUCCUUGGAUGUGUUAACUAGACACUUGAAACUGAAGGUGUCCUUGAUACUCUGAGCUAAUGGUGAAAAUAACCAAUCUUGGACAACUCUCCCAUGCAAGGUUACAGUUGUAGUGGGAAAUGCUGCAAUCUCAUCCAUGCUUGAUCUGCCAUCCUCAUAUUUACACACCCGCCCAUGCUUCACCAAGUACGCACCGCCCUGAGGAGUCUCUCCAGUCUCCCUCUCACACUGCUCCUCACUACAUAUUUGACCCAAAGAAGUGAGUCUUGGUGGAGGCAACAUAUAAGGAUUAGCAGAGAAAGGGGAAUCACCAACUCGUAUUAGCUAAGUAAUUGUUUAGCUAAUUACCACUCCCAGUCAGAAAAUGAAAAAUUAUAGGUUGACUCUGCAGAUGUGACUUCCAGUCCAGAAGACUCAGAAGAUUUGGUGUUUCCAGUUUCCAUUAAUUUCAAUUUCAUGGGAAAUAGUAUUUCAGGAUUCCAAAAAGAAAACUGUUGUUCAUUUAUAAAGGUGAACAAAAAUGCCAAAUCUUACUGUUAUUAUACUUACGUUACCAUACAAGUUGAUAUACACACAAAGUACUUCUCAGUCUAGCCACUAUGCUAAUUAACACCGUAUAGCAUACUAAGGAGAAAAACUAAUAUAAACUAUCCACCUUAAAUUUUUGUUUAAAAAUGUAAGUAAAAGGAAAAUUCAGAAUAUUCUACUGCCAAUGAACCUUUGUUUACUAGUAUAGAAAAUAUGAUUAGAAACUUAUAUUGAU
rnacentral:lncRNA from 10 species